AUAUACUUUUUUCGCAUCCCUGACAAAGCGGUGACCGCUUGGAUCAUUUGGCAUUUGUUAAUCUCGGAUUUGUAGAAAUUGGAUAGUCCUUCACGUCCUCUCCACGUCUACCACCGCUUCGACCAUUUGCAGUAUGGUAUUAUCAAAAUAGUAAAAAUUGUAUAAUUUGUACUUUUGUUCUUAUCCUUUUAUUCUGCCGGUUUCACCCCUUCUCGAUUCAUAUAAAAGCAAAACUCAUUCUUACUUUCUACUCCAUUUCCUCUUAAGUUCAGCACUUUUAAAAUCAAAAUCCUCUCACUCACAUCGUACAAACUUUCAGUGGCUCAGUGUUGAUAGAUUAGUUUCUCGUUUGAAGUUUCAAAAAUAACUAGGUUUGUUGCUUUGGUUCUUACUUUACUGUUCCUUGUUGCGGUUGUUGUCAAUUUCUUCUAUUUCCAUUGUACUUUCUGGUAUGUUCCCUUCUACAUCAUUUAAUCAAAUGUUAUUCAAAUUUUUUUUUAAAAUUUAUAUAAAUGUACCUUUAGUCAAAAUAAACUGUUCACAUUGUAUUUUUGUUGUAUGAAUAUUUGUUUUUGUGAUCAUAUUAAUAUCUUCUAAUA